GUGCCCAUCGCAUAAUGGAUUAUUGCAUUGCGCUACGAACGCAAAGGGUCUGGGUUCGAUUCCUAGUGGGCAUU
rnacentral:tRNA from 1 species